GAGGGACCUUCGGGCCUCUUGCCAUCGGAUGUGCCCAGAUGGGAUUAGCUAGUAGGUGGGGUAACGGCUCACCUAGGCGACGAUCCCUAGCUGGUCUGAGAGGAUGACCAGCCACACUGGAACUGAGACACGGUCCAGACUCCUACGGGAGGCAGCAGUGGGGAAUAUUGCACAAUGGGCGCAAGCCUGAUGCAGGCAUGCCGCGUGUAUGAAGAAGGCCUUCGGGUUGUAAAGUACUUUCAGCGGGGAGGAAGGGAGUAAAGUUAAUACCAUGGCUCAUUGACGUUACCCGCAGAAGAAGCACCGGCUAACUCACGGGCCAGCAGCCGCGGUAAUACGGAGGGUGCAAGCGUUAAUCGGAAUUACUGGGCGUAAAGCGCACGCAGGCCGGUUGU
rnacentral:rRNA from 1 species